rnacentral:rRNA from 1 species
UAAAACAUAGCGUUAAUGCACUGGAUCCCAUUAGAACUCUGUAGUUAAGAGCGCUCAAGAUAAAGUAGUACUGGGAUGGGUGAUUGCCUGGGAAGUCCUAGUGUUUUAC